rnacentral:rRNA from 1 species
CAGGAUUAGAUACCCUGGUAGUCCACGCCGUAAACGAUGUCGACUUGGAGGUUGUGCCCUUGAGGCGUGGUUUCCGGAGCUAACGCGUUAAGUCGACCGCCCGGGGAGUACGGCCGCAAGGUUAAAACUCAAAUGAAUUGACGGGGGCCCGCACAAGCGGUGGAGCAUGUGGUUUAAUUCGAUGCAACGCGAAGAACCUUACCUGGUCUUGACAUCCACAGAACUUUCCAGAGAUGGAUUGGUGCCUUCGGGAACUGUGAGACAGGUGCUGCAUGGCUGUCGUCAGCUCGUGUUGUGAAAUGUUGGGUUAAGUCCCGCAACGAGCGCAACCCUUAUCCUUUGUUGCCAGCGGUCCGGCCGGGAACUCAAAGGAGACUGCCAGUGAUAAACUGGAGGAAGGUGGGGAUGACGUCAAGUCAUCAUGGCCCUUACGACCAGGGCUACACACGUGCUACAAUGGCGCAUACAAAGAGAAGCGACCUCGCGAGAGCAAGCGGACCUCAUAAAGUGCGUCGUAGUCCGGAUUGGAGUCUGCAACUCGACUCCAUGAAGUCGGAAUCGCUAGUAAUCGUGGAUCAGAAUGCCACGGUGAAUACGUUCCCGGGCCUUGUACACACCGCCCGUCACACCAUGGGAGUGGGUUGCAAAAGAAGUAGGUAGCUUAACCUUCGGGAGGGCGCUUACCACUUUGUGAUUCAUGACUGGGGUGAAGUCGUAACAAGGUAACC